AUGACUGGCUAUAGGCUCUUCAGAAGGGACAGGCAGCACAGAAGGGGUGGUGGUGUGGCUCUCUAUAUCGGAGAAUCUUUGGAUGUUGUGGAACUCGAGGCUGGGAAUGACAAGGUCGAGUCCCUUUGGGUUAGGAUCAGCGGGAAGGCCAACAAGGCUAGCAUCCUGGUUGGGGUAUGUUAUAGACCGCCGAACCAGGAUGAGGAGACAGAUGAGGAAUUCUACAGGCAGCUGACAGAAGUUGUGAAAUCGUCGAUGCUUGUUCUCGUGGGGGACUUCAACAUCCCUGACAUAUCCUGGAAGCACAACACAGCCCAGAGAAAGCAGUUUGGGAGGUUUCUGGAGAGCAUGGAAGAUAGCUUUCUGACGCAGCUGGUUAGUGAGCCUUCCAGGGGUGGUGCCCCGCUAGACCUUCUCUUCACAAACAGAGAAGGUCUGGUGGAGGAUGUGAUUGUCGGGAGCAGUCUUGGGCAGAGUGACCACAAAAUGGUGGAGUUCUCUAUUCUUGGCGAGGCCACAAAGGGGACCAGCAAAAUGACUGUAUUGGACUUCCAGAGGGCUGACUUUGUGCUGCUUAGGACACUGGUUGGUAGAGUCCCUUGGGAGGUGGUUCUGAAGGGCAGAGGAGUCCAGGAAGGCUGGGCGCUCUUCAAGAAGGAAAUCUUAAUGGCACAGGAGCGGUCUGUCCCCACGUGCCCACAGAUGAGUCGGCGUGGAAGAAGAUUGGCCUGGCUCAACAGAGAGUUGCAGCUUGAGCUUAGGAGAAAAAAGAGGGUUUAUAAUCUUUGGAAAAAAGGGCGGGCCACUGAGGAGGACCAUGAGGAUGUUACGAGGCUGUGCAGGGACAAAAUUAGAAAGGCCAAAGCUCAUCUGGAGCUCAAUCUGGCUACUGCCAUUAAAGAUCACAAAAAAUCUUUUUACAAAUACAUCCAUGCAAAAUGGAGGACUAAGGAGAAUCUCCAUCCUUUCCUGGAUGUGGGGGGAAACCUUAUUACAAAAGAUGGGGAAAAGGCAGAGGUGCUUAAUGCCUUCUUCGCGUCAGUCUUUAGUGGCAGUACCGGUUGUUCUCUGGAUACCUAG
rnacentral:lncRNA from 1 species